rnacentral:rRNA from 1 species
GCUAGAAGAUGACGAGUGGCGGACGGGUGAGUCAUGCUGGGGAACUUGCCUUUGGGAGGGGGAUAACCGUUGGAAACGACUGCUAAUACCGCAUAAUGUCUUCGGACCAAACGGGGGUUCGGCUCCGGCGCAAAGAGAGGUCCAAGUGAGAUUAUCUGGUUGGUAAGGUAACGGCUUACCAAGGCGACGAUCUCUAGCUGUUCUGAGAGGAAGACCAGCCACACUGGGACUGAGACACGGCCCACACUCCUACGGGAGGCAGCAGUGGGGAAUAUUGCACAAUGGGGGAAACCCUGAUGCAGCCAUGCCGCGUGUGUGAAGAAGGCCUUCGGGUUGUAAAGCACUUUCAGUUGUGAGGAAAAGUUAAUUUUUAAUACCUGCUACCCGUGACGUUAACAACAAAAGAAGCACCGGCUAACUCCGUGCCAGCAUGCGGGGUAAUACGGAGGGUGCGAGCGUUAAUCGGAAUUACUGGGCGUAAAGCGCACGCAGGCGGUUUGUU